rnacentral:rRNA from 1 species
AAACGGGAAGAGCCCAUCGCUGAAUCCUGCGGCCCCGGCGGGCCGCCGGGAAAUGUAGCGUUCGGGAGGAGAGUUAAAUCUAUACACGCGCGGUCUCAUUAGUCACGGCCGCCUGUCCAAGUUCAUCUUGAACGGGGCUCCGCUUGCCCGCAGAGGGUGCCAGGCCCGUAGCGACGGUGGCCGGCCGCGACGGUCUCUCUCCCUAGAGUCGGGUUGCUUGAGAGUGCAGCCCUAAGCGGGUGGUAAACUCCAUCUAAGGCUAAAUAUCACCACGAGACCGAUAGCGAACA